UGGGGAAUAUUGGGCAAUGGGGGGAACCCUGACCCAGCAACGCCGCGUGAAGGAAGAAGGUUUUCGGAUCGUAAACUUCUAUCCUUGGUGAAGAUAAUGACGGUAGCCAAGAAGGAAGCCCCGGCUAACUACGUGCCAGCAGCCGCGGUAAUACGUAGGGGGCAAGCGUUGUCCGGAAUGAUUGGGCGUAAAGGGCGCGUAGGCGGCCUGGUAAGUCUGGAGUGAAAGUCCUGCUUUUGAGGUGGGAAUUGCUUUGGAUACUGCUGGGCUUGAGUGCAGGAGAGGUAAGUGGAAUUCCCGGUGUAGCGGUGAAAUGCGUAGAGAUCGGGAGGAACACCAGUGGCGAAGGCGACUUACUGGACUGUAACUGACGCUGAGGCGCGAAAGUGUGGGGAGCAAACAGG
rnacentral:rRNA from 2 species